GUGCCCGUAGCUCAACUGGAUAGAGCAGCGGUCUUCUAAACCGCAGGUUGCGAGUUCAAGUCUCGCCGGGCAUG
rnacentral:tRNA from 2 species